AUGCAGCCCAGAAGGCCGACUGGAAGCUACAGAGGAAACAAGUUUUGGGCAAACAUGUGUUGUUUCGGCAGUUAUUUGUUUCUUUCCCAGGGGGGUGCAGGCGGAUUAGAUCUUUCUAAACACGUCAUCAUCCAUGACAUUUUCACUGAUGGGAUAAGCGGAGAAUAUCCGAGUGACGUCCUGAAGACGCCAAAAGUGACCGGUUCAAAUGACCUGUUAAGAAUUCAGAUUGUCGUCUCAUGCGUCUGUCUGUAUUCCAAGUUCUCAUCUCCGCUCCGCAUAAUUUUGUCUGCAAAUUUACCCGUAGCCUAUCGAUGUGUACUAUAUGAUGGAAUUAUGUGGGCUUAUGUGGUGAUUCUCUUAUUAUAUAACCAGAAAGAGAGCGAUGUAACGAUCUGGAAAGAAUUUGUCACCAUAUGA
rnacentral:rRNA from 1 species